CAAGUUAAAGCUAUAAUUAGCACUUUAUUUACACUAAUGAG
rnacentral:tRNA from 1 species